GGGAGAGGCAACAGGGCCAUCCGCUACUACUACGUGAGCCUUGGGGUACAGUUGAGAUGCUAACUGCUGCCCAACUCAAGUGUUAUUUCUAUGGUCACUGCCUUGGAAGGGAAGUGUCCCAGUUCCUGGAUAAGGGGUGUUUCCUGUCCCAGGAAGGCAGUAUGGCCGAAGCAGUAUCCCAUGAUCCAGGUCCCUCCCAGUGGGAUUUGUUCUGUAUUCUACCAUAAACAGUCUCUACAGCAAGAAUGAAAAGAAUGGAU
rnacentral:lncRNA from 1 species